rnacentral:rRNA from 1 species
GACGAACGCUGGCGGCGUGCUUAACACAUGCAAGUCGAACGGAAAGGCCCUGCUUUUGUGGGGUGCUCGAGUGGCGAACGGGUGAGUAACACGUGAGUAACCAGCCCUUGACUUUGGGAUAACUUCAGGAAACUGGGGCUAAUACCGGAUAGGAGCUCCUGCUGCAUGGUGGGGGUUGGAAAGUUUCGGCGGUUGGGGAUGGACUCGCGGCUUAUCAGCUUGUUGGUGGGGUAGUGGCUUACCAAGGCUUUGACGGGUAGCCGGCCUGAGAGGGUGACCGGCCACAUUGGGACUGAGAUACGGCCCAGACUCCUACGGGAGGCAGCAGUGGGGAAUAUUGCACAAUGGGCGGAAGCCUGAUGCAGCAACGCCGCGUGCGGGGUGACGGCCUUCGGGUUGUAAACCGCUUUCGCCUGUGACGAAGCGUGAGUGACGGUAAUGGGUAAAGAAGCACCGGCUAACUACGUG